rnacentral:rRNA from 1 species
CCUACGGGCGGCAGCAGUGGGGAAUAUUGGACAAUGGGGGCAAGCCUGACCCAGCAACGCCGCGUGAGUGAAGAAGGCUUUCGGUUUGUAAACUUCUAUUCUCAGGGACGAAGCAAGUGACAGUACCUUAGGAAUAAGCCACUGCUAACUACGUGCCAGCAGCCGCGGUAAUACGUAGGUGGCAAGCGUUAUCCGGAUUUACUGGGUGUAAAGGGAGUGUAGGCGGGAAAGCAAGUCAGAUGUGAAAGCCAUGGGCUCAACCUGUGGCCUGCAUUUGAAACUGUUCUUCUUGAGUGCUGGAGAGGCAGACGGAAUUCCUAGUGUAGCGGUGAAAUGCGUAGAUAUUAGGAGGAACACCAGUGGCGAAGGCGGUCUGCUGGACAGCAACUGACGCUGAGGCGCGAAAGCGUGGGGAGCAAACAGGAUUAGAUACCCGAGUAGUC